CUAGCUCGGAUUUUAAAAUCA
rnacentral:piRNA from 1 species